rnacentral:lncRNA from 1 species
CUAGAAAUCAGCACCUUAAGAACACAUAGAAUUAUGCCGGAAUUGUUUAAACAAUUAUGCUAAAACUUUCAUGCAUGAUUAACUAUCAGAUCUGAAACUUAAAACUCUAUUCCAAUUAAUCUCCGAAUAUCCAUUGAAUGGAUUCUGGAGAUAUCUCCGUGAGGAGCCCCAAAAGAGGGUAAAACCUCGGGGAAUCGGACCUAAAUCUUGACACCAUAAUAAA